rnacentral:rRNA from 1 species
UCAAAGGAAUUGACGGGGAGCACCACAACGGGUGGAGCUUGCGGUUUAAUUGGAUUCAACGCCGGAAAUCUUACCGGGACCGACAGCAAUAUGAAGGCCAGGCUGAAGACUUUGCCGGAUUAGCUGAGAGGUGGUGCAUGGCCGUCGUCAGUUCGUACUGUGAAGCAUCCUGUUAAGUCAGGCAACGAGCGAGACCCACGCCCACAGUUGCCAGCGUACUCUCUGGAGUGACGGGUACACUGUGGGACCGCCGCUGCUAAAGCGGAGGAAGGAAUGGGCAACGGUAGGUCAGUAUGCCCCGAAUAUCCCGGGCUACACGCGAGCUACAAUGGUUGGUACAAUGGGUAUCUACCCCGAAAGGGGACGGGAAUCUCCUAAAACCAAUCUUAGUUCGGAUUGAGGGCUGCAACUCGCCCUCAUGAAGCUGGAAUCCGUAGUAAUCGCGUUUCAACAGAACGCGGUGAAUACGUCCCUGCUCCUU